AUGACUAUAGUUUAAUGGUAGAAUGGUCGAUUUCCAAUCGAUAAGUGCUGAUUCGAAUUCAGCUAGUCAUA
rfam:Talaromyces islandicus isolate WF-38-12 genome assembly, contig: WF-38-12_scaffold00002